UUGGCCUGCAAUGGGCGUGGGGCCCAAAAUCAGAGUCCUAAGGUCAAUGUUGUUUGUAGAAUUCAGAAUGGGAGGUGAAUUAGCAGUUAAGGUAUGUAGAGAGUAAAGGCACGGGCUUAGUGGCUUGAAGGCCCAACGUGAAUGGGCAAAGGGUGAAGGGACUGAGACUCGCCCUCAUUCUUCACUCCAUCAACAUUCCCCAUCUUUCUUACAUCUACCUUGGCCGGAAAUCACUCUGCCAUGCCGGAGGCGGCGGAGCAUCCCAGUUGAGCCUAAAACCACCACCAAUUCACUCGUUCUUGUCUCCUCUCUUCACUUCCCAACCAUAUUCCGUCUAAAAUUCACCAAGUCAUCAAAUCACAACAAAAAACUUAAAGAACCCUAAGUUAUCCAAACAAAAUUAAAUCACAAUGGGGGGAAUCAAAGCAAGAAAACUCAUGGCUUUGAUUCCUCUCAAUGCCCUAUACAUCUUGUUAACAAUUUUGGAAGCAACAAGAAGUAAGAAAUGGAUCCUACCUAAAAGGAAGAGGUUCGCCCGGAAAUUUAUUGAAGAUUGAAGAAGACGAUGAUGAAGAGAAAACCAGUGAUAUAUCAACAGGGAUGAUGCUCAUUAUGUAGGCUUGGCAUGGUAUUUUGGAAAGGCAUGAUCAAAGUGGGCAUGACAUCAUGGUGAUGGAGUUUUUGGAUAACUUGAAGACUUGGAGGACUAUAGAUGAGAGAUCUUGAGAAUGAAUAGAAAAGUAGGAUUAGGCAGUUUGACUUCGGUCAACUGCUUGACCAAAAAGUCAACAGUUGACCAAAAAGUCAACAGUUAACCAAAAGUCAAGCUUAGGCCAGGAGAUGGAUUUUUGUAUGUAAUUUGUAAUUUUUCCUUUUGUUUGUAAUGGUAUGUGAUGUUUGUACUUGAAUAUUGGCCUUAAGUGCAAUUGUGACCUAUUUUCCAAGA